GCCUGGGUGUCUCAGUCAGUUAAGCGUCUGACUUCAGCUCAGGUCAUGAUUUUCCAGUUUGUGGGUUCGAGCCCCACGUCAGGCU
rnacentral:tRNA from 1 species